rnacentral:misc_RNA from 1 species
GAUGAAGAACGUAGCGAAAUGCGAUAAGUAGUGUGAAUUGCAGAAUUCAGUGAAUCAUCGAAUCUUUGAACGCACAUUGCGCCCUUUGGUAUUCCUUAGGGCAUGCCUGUUCGAGCGUCAUUUAAACCUUCAAGCUCAGCUUGGUGUUGGGUGACUGUCCGCUUCACCGCGGACUCGCCUCAAAAUUAUUGGCGGCCGGUACAUUGGCUUCGAGCGCAGCAGAAGCGCGAACUCGGGCCCGUCGUAUUGGCUCCCAGAAGCUAUCUUCACAAUUUUGACCUCGGAUCAGGUAGGGAUACCCGCUGAACUUAAGCAUAUCAAUAAGCGGAGGA